UAUUCGCGGCGUGGAGGGGCGGGAGCUGCAAGGGACGCUGCGUUCCCAUUGGCCUUUAAUAGCGAACCUUGGGUGUUGCGGAGCUUGGGCCGUGGUGACCGUGUUUAGCUGUUUCGUUUGGAGGACGCUUUGUGUUCGGAGGCUGUGGCUGUCCGGCUACCGGAAGUCCCCAGGGCUUUUUGAGUCAUGACUUUGUCUUGUAAAGUGUGAUUUGCACCAGAACGGGGGAAGCAGUGGGUCACUUGUGGCGCUGGGAGCCCGCGUGCUGUUUCCAGCCGGCAUGAACCGAGUGUCUGUUGCCUGCCCGGCCUAAAAGGUGCCUAACUUCCCCGGUUGUACCAGUUAGAGUAGCUGCUGCUCCGCGCGCUCACAGGCGUCGUCGCCCUUCCCCGCGAUGGUUCGGUGCAGUGGAAGGAAUCCUGAGCAAGGCACAUGGUGGAAUUCCUUUCUGAUCAACAGGCGCAGCUAUCAUUUCCUCCUCUUGUGAUCUGCGGUAUUCCAUGGCGUGCAGACAGCGGGGUAUAUGCAACCAUUCUGCUGCUGUUGAGCAUCCACUUUGUUUCAAAGCUUGUACUUAUUUUUUACUCUUGAAAGAUGCUUCAAAUAAAAAAGUUCUAAACAUGAAUCCUUAAAUGCUGCUGCUUUGAUUUCUCUGGAUUAGUGAAUUCAGACUUUCAUGUAUACUUUGCAUAGCAAAUCUAUACUUUCCAUUACUGGGCCAGCGUAUGAAAAGAGAAUCCUGAUGAUAAACGUGUUCCACAUCAGCGCCAGCAGAAUGCUAUUGUGUACAUGUCCGUGGCUGUGACGCUCCUAGCAACCAGAAAUGUCAUCAUCAUGCUUCUAUGGCAAUAGCAAAUGUUUUAGCCUGACAAAGGAAUCUCAUAUUUGGUGCUCAGGGAGAUUUCACCACUGCACAGAAAUGAAAGGAACUACCUCUGUUCUUUUCAUAUUUUUAUAACAUAUUAAUGCAAUGCCAGAAAAGUAAAUUUUAUUGUGAUUUUGGGGGCAUUGAUGGUUUAAGAUAUAUUCUAUGGUGCUUUUGGACCAUUUUUUUCUCUUUUAUUUUUCACUAAAUUGAUUUGUAAUUGUCAGUAACUAUCUAGUCCUACUAGGCUGUGAGAAAAGAAAAAGAGCUAGUAUUUAUGGAGACAUUAAUGGAAAUUGAGAUCCAGAGAAGUUUGAUCAUAUUCUCACCAGUUUGCAGUUAAUAUGUUUAUGUAUAUGUUGGUUUGGUUCAGAACUUUUCUGUAGAGACUAGUUGAAAAUAAAGAAUCUGUUGUCAUCUAUACAGGAAUGUCCAAUAAAAUUGUUUUCUUCUGUGA